AACAACAUGAACACUAUGCCGGUAAUAAUAAUUCGAUAUUGUUUUAUAUUCAGUACGCAUAACGCCGGUAGGGGUCCGUUUUGUUUACGUGUAACUGUUUGUUGUGAUGGAAUCGAUGCGAGCCGGCAGACUGUACCAGCAGAUAUAGAUCAACGUGCACACGGUUGCCGUAAUUACCUGGAAACACCUGUGAGGCUGACGUAGCUAACCACUAAAUGUUACUGAAGAGACCGCAAACUGUUCCCGUCGUCUGGUUGUAGCCAGUUUGUGUGAGGCAGAUCGUCCAUUACGUUAGUCAGGAUAUAACUGACAGUGGUAGACAUGACAUGAGGUGUGAUUAGUUGUAGGAUCGAUCACCAUCUAUGGCUUCCCGUUCCAACCAGGGCCCUGUUCCACGAAGCGAUCUUAACCUUAAUAUCACCUUAAAUGCAUAACGACUGUAUACACUUAAGGUGAUCUUAGCGCUAAGAUUGCUUCGUGAAACGAGGCCCAGGUUCAGCAACUGGUACAUCAAAUACCGAGUUGCAGCUGACUUGUCAUCGCAGCUAUGACCAGAAUACAGCAUGUAUUAUGCAUGUUUCCGAUACCAGUGGGAAAAUCGCCGUUCCCCACCAGCGGGCACAGUUUCUUCCAAUCUAAUUAGCUCUUCAUAAAGAUGGGAAAUCACCCAUGCGCAGAAACAAAUUUUGUCUUUUUAUCAAAGAUGAUCAGCCAUUAGUCAAGGGUCACGUGACACGGUCAGGGUGGAUCAAAUUUCGUCUCGGGUCACGUGAUUGAUUAGCUCACGACCAUCUAGACUUGCUCCUCCACGGUCAUCGAAUCGAUUAUUUCCUGAUAUUUUUCAUGUCCGGAUACUAGAGGCCAGUGACAGCUGAUUUUGUAAUUUCAACAUCUUCAGAUGC